UACGAAGGGGGCUAGCGUUGCUCGGAAUCACUGGGCGUAAAGCGCACGUAGGCGGCUUUUUAAGUCAGGGGUGAAAUCCUGGAGCUCAACUCCAGAACUGCCUUUGAUACUGGGAAGCUUGAGUCCGGGAGAGGUGAGUGGAGCUCCGAGUGUAGAGGUGAAAUUCGUAGAUAUUCGGAAGAACACCAGUGGCGAAGGCGGCUCACUGGCCCGGUACUGACGCUGAGGUGCGAAAGCGUGGGGAGCAAACAGG
rnacentral:rRNA from 1 species